GUCUUUUUGAAUUUAAUUUAAAGUCUAAUCUGCCCACUGAUUGUAUUAAUUAAAUGGCCGCAGUAUUUUAACUGUGCAAAGGUAGCAUAAUCAUUAGUCUUUUAAUUGAGGGCUGGAAUGAAUGAUUGGACGAGAAAUAAUCUGUCUCAUUUAAAUUUUAUUUAAAAUUUUAUUUUUUAGUUAAAAAGCUGAAAUAAAUUUAAAAGACGAGAAGACCCUAUAGAUCUUUAUAAAAAUUAUAUAAUUUAUUUUUUAGAUGAUUUAAGUAAUUAUAUUUAUUUAUAUUUUGUUGGGGUGACAUUGAAAUUUAAAAAACUUUCAAAUAUUAUUUAACAUAUAUUAAUGAUUUUUAUUGAUCCUAUAUUAUGGAUAUAAAAAUUAAGUUACCUUAGGGAUAACAGCGUAAUUAUUUCGUAAAGUUCAUAUUGAUGAAAUAGAUUGCGACCUCAGUGUUGGAUUAAGAUUAAUAAUAGGGGCAGUUUUUUAUUAUAUUAAGUCUGUUCGACUUUUAAAUUCUU
rnacentral:rRNA from 1 species